rnacentral:rRNA from 1 species
CAUACGGGGGGCUGCAGUGGGGAAUAUUGGACAAUGGGCGAAAGCCUGAUCCAGCCAUGCCGCGUGUGUGAAGAAGGCCUUCGGGUUGUAAAGCACUUUCAGUGGGGAAGAAAGCCUUGGGGCUAAUACCCUCGAGGAAGGACAUCACCCACAGAAGAAGCACCGGCUAACUCCGUGCCAGCAGCCGCGGUAAUACGGAGGGUGCGAGCGUUAAUCGGAAUUACUGGGCGUAAAGCGCGCGUAGGCGGUCUGAUAAGCCGGUUGUGAAAGCCCCGGGCUCAACCUGGGAACGGCAUCCGGAACUGUCAGGCUAGAGUGCAGGAGAGGAAGGUAGAAUUCCCGGUGUAGCGGUGAAAUGCGUAGAGAUCGGGAGGAAUACCAGUGGCGAAGGCGGCCUUCUGGACUGACACUGACGCUGAGGUGCGAAAGCGUGGGUAGCAAACAGGAUUAGAUACCCCAGUAGUC